UUUGUAAUUCAAACCUUCAACACUUUUGUUACCUUCGAAACCUUGGACUCAUGCUUUAGCAAACACUUGAGAAAAGCAAGCAGGAUUCUAUAGUAUAGCCUUGGCUAUCAGCCGGCUAGACACAAACAGUAACACUAGCAGUAGUAAAGAGAAGAGUUCUUUGAGUGUGUUUGUGUUUUUGAACUCAAUCGUUCGUGUGUUUGAAUAAAAGGAAUAGGGUAUUUAUACUUUGAAAAAAGGGAAGUAAGCAAGGCAGAAAACAAUUCAGUAUCAAUUGGAAUCAAUCAGGAGAGGGAAAUUCCUUUAAUUAACGAGUUCGAACUUGAAUGGUAAUGGAAGAAUUUUAAUUAAGGAAAGAAAAUCAAGUAACAUGUCGUGCAAUAAAUGGUAAAUACAUAAGAGAAGUUCUUCAAAUACGCGGUUUAGGUAAAUAAGGUAAGAAGUAAAUCAACUAGUAAAUAAUAAAUCACAGAAUCAAAGAUUCGAAAUCAAUAAUGAACCAAGUCAGAAAACAG
rnacentral:lncRNA from 1 species